AGAAGAAGCCCCGGCUAACUUCGUGCCAGCAGCCGCGGUAAUACGAAGGGGGCUAGCGUUGCUCGGAAUUACUGGGCGUAAGGGGAGCGUAGGCGGACAUUUAAGUCAGGGGUGAAAUCCCGGGGCUCAACCUCGGAAUUGCCUUUGAUACUGGGUGUCUUGAGUAUGAGAGAGGUGUGUGGAACUCCGAGUGUAGAGGUGAAAUU
rnacentral:rRNA from 1 species